rnacentral:lncRNA from 1 species
GGCACCCCAAAUGGUUGAAGCUCCAAUAUGUCUCGCAGAACCAUGUUCACUUCAAAGGGAUAAGCAUGUACCGUUCUGCACUCCUUUGAAGGAGAAAAAAUAUGGGACAACAUGGCCAGCAACAACUACAUCCCAAUGGCACCCAUGUGCUAAUGCCAAUUGCCAAACGGCAAUUAAACAAAAAAGAAAGAUACAAGGUGCCCCAG